GACGAACGCUGGCGGCGUGCUUAACACAUGCAAGUCGAACGGAAGGGCCUGCUUUCUCUUGUGGAUUUCGGGUACUCGCGUGGCGAACGGGUGAGUAACACGUGAGUGAUCUGCCCCCAACUUUGGUAUAAGCUUGGGCAACUGGGUCUAAUUCCCGCUAGGACUGCAGGGUGGUGCGUGUGGUGGAAAACGAUUUUCUAGUGGUUGGGGCUGAGCUCGCGGCCUAUCAGUUGGUUGGUGGGGUAAUGGCCUACCAAGGCGGGGACGGGUAGGCGGCCUGGGGGAGUGGACGGCAACGUGGGGACUGCGAUACUGCCCAUGCGCCUACGGGAAGCAGCAGUGGGGAAGCAGGCGCGAGGGGUGGUGGCCUGAUGCAGCAACGCCGCGUGAGGGAUGACGGCCUUCGGGUGGUGAACUCCUUGCGGCCGCGAGGAAGCCACCUGGUUGAAGGGGUGGUGACGGUAGUGGUAGAAGAAGCACCGGCUAACUACGUG
rnacentral:rRNA from 1 species